rnacentral:rRNA from 1 species
UACGGAGGGUGCAAGCGUUGUCCGGAUUUAUUGGGUUUAAAGGGUGCGUAGGCGGCUUUUUAAGUCCGGUGUGAAAGCCCGUUGCUCAACAACGGAACUGCCCCGGAAACUGGAGAGCUUGAGUACAGACGAGGGCGGCGGAAUGGAGGGUGUAGCGGUGAAAUGCAUAGAUACCCUCCAGAACCCCGAUUGCGAAGGCGGCUGCCUAGACUGUAACUGACGCUGAGGCACGAAGGCGUGGGGAGCGAACAGG